rnacentral:rRNA from 1 species
AGACCCGAAACCCGGUGAUCUAGCCAUGGGCAGGUUGAAGGUUGGGUAACACUAACUGGAGGACCGAACCGACUAAUGUUGAAAAAUUAGCGGAUGACCUGUGGCUGGGGGUGAAAGGCCAAUCAAACCGGGAGAUAGCUGGUUCUCCCCGAAAGCUAUUUAGGUAGCGCCUCGUGAAUUCAUCUCCGGGGGUAGAGCACUGUUUCGGCUAGGGGGCCAUCCCGGCUUACCAACCCGAUGCAAACUGCGAAUACCGGAGAAUGUUAUCACGGGAGACACACGGCGGGUGCUAACGUCCGUCGUGAAGAGGGAAACAACCCAGACCGCCAGCUAAGGUCCCAAAGUCAUGGUUAAGUGGGAAACGAUGUGGGAAGGCCCAGACAGCCAGGAUGUUGGCUUAGAAGCAGCCAUCAUUUAAAGAAAGCGUAAUAGCUCACUGGUCGAGUCGGCCUGCGCGGAAGAUGUAACGGGGCUAAACCAUGCACCGAAGCUGCGGCAGCGACGCUUAUGCGUUGUUGGGUAGGGGAGCGUUCUGUAAGCCUGUGAAGGUGGCCUGUGAGGGUUGCU